rnacentral:rRNA from 1 species
AGAGUUUGAUCCUGGCUCAGGAUGAACGCUGGCGGCGUGCCUAACACAUGCAAGUUGAGCGAUUCACUUCGGUGAAGAGCGGCGGACGGGUGAGUAACGCGUGGGUAACCUGCCCUAUACACACGGAUAACAUACCGAAAGGUAUGCUAAUACGAGAUAAUAUAAGAGAUUCACAUGGAUUUCUUAUCAAAGCUGAGGCGGUAUAGGAUGGACCCGCGUCUGAUUAGCUAGUUGGUAAGGUAACGGCUUACCAAGGCGACGAUCAGUAGCCGACCUGAGAGGGUGAUCGGCCACAUUGGAACUGAGACACGGUCCAAACUCCUACGGGAGGCAGCAGUGGGGAAUAUUGCACAAUGGGCGAAAGCCUGAUGCAGCAACGCCGCGUGAGUGAUGAAGGCCUUCGGGUCGUAAAACUCUGUCCUCAAGGAAGAUAAUGACGGUACUUGAGGAGGAAGCCCCGGCUAACUACGUGCCAGCAGCCGCGGUAAUACGUAGGGGGCUAGCGUUAUCCGGAUUUACUGGGCGUAAAGGGUGCGUAGGUGGUCUCUUAAGUCAGGAGUGAAAGGCUACGGCUUAACCGUAGUAAGCUCUUGAAACUGGGAGACUUGAGUGCAGGAGAGGAAAGUGGAAUUCCUAGUGUAGCGGUGAAAUGCGUAGAUAUUAGGAGGAACACCAGUAGCGAAAGCGGCUUUCUGGACUGUAACUGACACUGAGGCACGAAAGCGUGGGGAGCAAACAGGAUUAGAUACCCUGUAGUCCACGCCGUAAACGAUGAGUACUAGUGUCGGGGGUUACCCCCUCGGUGCCGCAGCUAACGCAUUAAGUACUCCGCCUAGGGAGUACGCUCGCAAGAGUGAAACUCAAAGGAAUUGACGG